UAGGGAGACAUCCAGGAAGCCAGAACAUGGCCUCACAUGGAGCCCAGCCUAACUCAUCAAAGGAAGGCCUGGAGUACCAAUUGCUUCUCAGAUUUAGUUCCACAAAGGAAGAAGGUCAGGACUUUGUAGGAUUAUGUCAGAAGCUCACUGGCAAGGGCAAGUCCCUGGAAUAGCAGGCAUCUAUGAGUGAUCAGUAAACAAUAUAGCAACCAGGAGGAGGGCUAGGAAUGCAGCUCAGUGAAAGACCACUUACUUGGUAUGGUCAAAGUCCUGGCUUUGAAGCCCAGCACUGUAGAGACUUUUUUUUUUUCUUUUUCAGAUGAGGAGAGGCUGGAUGUGUAUUUUGGAUUUAAAGUAUCUCUUGAGGUCUAAUCCCAAGUGGCAGUCAAGACCCAAGUCAACCCCACAGGACCUCAUCCUGACAAAAAAGCAAGAAUCUAAGUCUUCUUGGUAUUGUUCUCAGGAGAUAUGUGCAGAUGUCAGUGGCUGCAAGGUGCUAUUAAAGGCUCUGGUGUUUCCAGGAGUGGCUAGAGGCUGUGCUGACGGUUGUGUAGCAUCAAGGAAUAGAGACACCAUGGCUGCCUCCAAGUUGCUUCUGGUUCUGCUUUCUAUGGCCCUGCUGGCCCUGACCUCAGCUCAGACGGCCAAAGAAGAUGAUGAAAAUUCUCUUCAAGGGCAACAAUCCCAUGAAGAUGGAGACUCCAGUGAAUCAGGUGAAUUAGGUGAGAUAUUUCAGCUUCAAUUAAGUUACUGGGAAUUAUUUUGAAUUAUGCCUAGCAACUUCUGGAUUACUGGUCUAGUAUAAUUUUUUUUUGCCAUCAUUAUUAUUUUAUUUAUUUUUAUCAAUUUUAUUUAAAUUAAAAACAAUCUUAUUUUGCAUUCUAAUCCCAGUUCCAUCUCCGUCCCAUCCUCCCAUUCUUCCCCCCAUCCACCCACCCCACCACUGAUCCACCCCUCAGGGAGGCUGAGGCCUCCCAUGGGGACCAUCAAUGUCUGUCACAUCAUUUGGGGCAGGACCUAGGCCCUCCCCUGUGUAUCUCUAGGCUGAGAGAAUAUCCCUCCAUAGGGAAUGGGCUCCCAAAGCCCAUUUGUGCAAUAGGGAUAAAUACUGCCUCUACUGCCAGAAGCCCCAUAGACUGCCCAAGCCCCCCAACUGACACCCACAUUCAGGGGGCCUGGUUCAAUCUUAUGCUGGUUCCUCAGCUGUCAGCUGAACUCCUGGAAUCCAAUUGUAGAGAGGAUGAGUGAUGAGAAAAGGGGUGAAGACCAUGCUGGGGAAACCCAUAGAAACAGCUGACCUAGUAUAAAAUUUGUCUAACUUUUUAGGUUAAAAAAGUUUUGCCUAAGCUUUAAAAAUUUCCUCUGCCCAUUGUUCUAUUUAGUUUUUGGUUCCACAUUAUAAAAGGUUCAAAAUUGAAAAAAUGCAAAAUAACAAUAAUAAUGUCAACAAAAUAAGAAAGACAAGGAAAAAGAGGAAGAAAACCAAUAUUUGCUUUGAAACCGCUCUGUGAUGUUCAAUGUGAGGUUAUUGCUUUCCUCUGCCUUUCUUUCCUUGCCUUGGCUGCCCUUAUGACUGCACACCUAUUUAUUGUUUCCUGAAAGAAACAUUUUGAUUACUUAUAUUAUCUCCUCCAAUGCUAACUCAAUAAAAAAUCACAUCUACAAUGACCA
rnacentral:lncRNA from 1 species